CACGGGGGGAGCAGGCGUUGUUCGGAUUCAUUGGGCGUAAAGCGCUCGCAGGUGGUCCGCUGCGUCGUGCGUGAAAGACCCCGGCUCAACUGGGGGAUGUCGUGCGAUACGGGCGGACUGGAGGCCAGUAGGGGGAUGCGGAAUUCCGGGUGUAGUGGUGGAAUGCGUAGAGAUCCGGAGGAACACCAGCGGCGAAGGCGGCAUCCUGGACUGGUCCUGACGCUCAGGAGCGAAAGCGUGGGGAGCGAUCCGG
rnacentral:rRNA from 1 species